rnacentral:rRNA from 1 species
CGCCAGCAGCCGCGGUAAAACGUAGGAGGCGAGCGUUAUCCGGAUUUACUGGGCGUAAAGCGUGUGCAGGCGGUUCGGCAAGUUGGAUGUGAAAGCUCCUGGCUUAACUAGGAGAGGUCGUUCAAUACUACCGAACUUGAAGGCAUCAGAGGAAGAUGGAAUUCCCGGUGUAGUGGUGAAAUGCGUAGAUAUCGGGAGGAACACCAGUGGCGAAGGCGGUCUUCUGGGAUGCUCUUGACGCUCAUACACGAAAGCUAGGGUAGCGAACGGGAUUAGAGACCCCGGUAGUCCUAGCAGUAAACGAUGUAGACUUGGUGUCGGAGGUGUCAAAACCUUCGGUAUCGUAGCUAACGCGAUAAGUCUACCGCCUGGGGACUACGGCCGCAAGGUUAAAACUCAAAGGAAUUGACGGGGGCCCGCACAAGC